AUUGAACGCUGGCGGCAGGCCUAACACAUGCAAGUCGAGCGGUAGCAGGCCUUCGGGCGCUGACGAGCGGCGGACGGGUGAGGAACACGUAGGAAUUUGCCUGGUAGUGGGGGAUAGCCCAGAGAAAUUUGGAGUAAUACCGCAUAUGCCCUGAGGGGGAAAGUGGGGGACCGCAAGGCCUCACGCUAUCAGAGAAGCCUGCGUCGGAUUAGCUAGUUGGUAGGGUAAAGGCCUACCAAGGCGACGAUCCGUAGCUGGUCUGAGAGGAUGAUCGACACCACUGGGAUUAGGAGACGGCCCAGACUCCUUCGGGAGGCAGCAUUGGGGAAUGUGCGACAAUGGGGGAGUGCCUGAUCCAGCCAUGCCGCGUGUGUGAAGAAGGCCUUCGGGUUGUAAAGCUCUUUAAGUGGGGAGGAAAAGCGGAGCGUGAAUAUCGCUUUGCCAUGACGUUACCCACAGAAUAAGCACCGGCAAACUCCGUGCCAGCCGCCGCGGUAA
rnacentral:rRNA from 1 species